rnacentral:rRNA from 1 species
AUUGAACGCUGGCGGCAUGCUUUACACAUGCAAGUCGAACGGUAACAGGGAGCUUGCUCCGCUGACGAGUGGCGAACGGGUGAGUAAUGCAUCGGAACGUACCCAGUCGUGGGGGAUAACGUAGCGAAAGUUACGCUAAUACCGCAUACGUCCUGAGGGAGAAAGCGGGGGACCGUAAGGCCUCGCGCGAUUGGAGCGGCCGAUGUCGGAUUAGCUAGUUGGUAGGGUAAAGGCCUACCAAGGCGACGAUCCGUAGCGGGUCUGAGAGGAUGAUCCGCCACACUGGGACUGAGACACGGCCCAGACUCCUACGGGAGGCAGCAGUGGGGAAUUUUGGACAAUGGGCGAAAGCCUGAUCCAGCCAUGCCGCGUGAGUGAAGAAGGCCUCGGGUUGG